AUCAACAGCAGCCGAAUCACAUUAGAUUGCCACAAGAUGAGUACGCGUUUGCCAAUAAUAUUAUGAGCAGGUCCAUAUUCCGAUGAUGAACUGAUUCAACAACAUCGAUCCAUCAUAGCAAGAUUCUUUCUUUACAAGUUAGAAUAAGAUGGGGCCCUGUUUGGGGCCCUGAACCUGGAGCAUCACAAGAACGAUGCUACCACCAUGUGCAACGACUACUUGACAUUACCAGGACCAAAACAUUAUAUAGGCCACAGCCAAAGCAGCAGCAGCAGCAGCUGCGAGAACUUGGACCCCCAAGCAGCCAGAGGCGAUGAGCCGCAUAGACAGUAGGCGAGCAAGGCAUGUCAAGCCCUUGUUCCUUUUAGUCCUCACAACCAUCUCAUUCUCCAAAAGCACCGACUUGAUCCAAAAACGAACCUGUAAUAAAACAGUAGCAUCACCCGCCAAAAAAAAAAGUAGCAUAGCAGAUCAAAUCUCAAUAAUCUGGAAAUACUCUAUCUAGAGAUGAACACAAGGAACAUUACUAUUUCAGAUAAGCACUUGCUGAAGCAAUUUGCAGGAGCACAAACGCUACCAGGCUGAUGGAUUUAAAGCUGUUUACAUGCCAACGUGGCACCAUAAACAAACUAGCUAGCUAGAUAAAUAAGCAGCAGCACAUACAAUUCAAACAGCCAACACCAGAAAUUUGUUGUGUUGAAUCGCAAAAGAUUAAUCACUUUUAUCUACUAGACCAACAAGUGCAACCAGUAAAUAGAAGCUCGACAUUAAAUAGAAAUCUGUUUAAGAAACAAGUCAAGCUCCAGCUUCAGACCACAUUGAAUACAAGCCAGGUUUAAGGUUGAGGUUGAUUAAGUCGACCAAACCAAGCCCACAAGUUAACUUGAAAGACACAUCUUACAAUCUGUUUCAGCCCUAAAAGCCGACGUUCAGCACAAAGCCCAGCCGAGACAAAAAACCAAAUGGGCAUACCAAAAACAAAGUGUGGAUAACAUCGACUAAGAAGUGACAGCUAGUAUAAACACCCAGUGAAUCAGAAAUCACCAUCAAGAACCAUAUCCUGGCCACAUGAUCAAGUCGUAGAAUCAGAUUUCAUAGACGAUGUAAAUCGCUUACCUACUUGUUCAUUUAAUUUGAAGGUCAAGUUUAGGGUUGGUUUCAGUGGUGAUACACAGUUCCCAAGUCAGGCAACAAGUAGGCAAUGGUUUAGAGCACUAAAAAAAAACAAGAUAUGCAUCUUUCGAUAAGCAUCAGCACAUGCAUCUCAUACAAGGCAACAGAGCAGAAUUCAUCUUAGGCAGCACUGUGUCGAAUCACAAAAGAGCUUACCCAAGUUUGAUCAUUCAAGUCCGAAUCAGCUAAUAUAGAAGUGCAACCAGCCACAACCUUACAGCAACACCAAAAUCUUUACUAAUAUAUUGGAGUUGGUGAUGGUGGUACGUCGUCGUUCAACACUUAUCAUCGGACGCAUUCAGACCGUUCGAUCUACAUCCAAUGUCACACAGGUCCCAUCACACAAAAAUGGUAAGGUCCAAAACUAACCACCGCACAAACACAAAAAUUGGGGAAUUGAUGCACAAUUAAUACGAUAAUUAAUUACCCUUUCCUACCCAACAUUACAGAAGGCAAUCAAAAAAUCCGGAUACAUUUCAAUUAAAUGCUCCCAAUUAGCAC
rnacentral:lncRNA from 1 species